CCAGACUCCUACGGGAGGCAGCAGUGGGGGAUAUUGCACAAUGGGGGAAACCCUGAUGCAGCGACGCCGCGUGGGUGAAGAAGUAUUUCGGUAUGUAAAGCCCUAUCAGCAGGGAAGAAAGAAGACGGUACCUGACUAAGAAGCCCCGGCUAACUACGUGCCAGCAGCCGCGGUAAUACGUAGGGGGCGAGCGUUAUCCGGAUUCACUGGGUGUAAAGGGAGCGUAGACGGCCGUGCAAGCCAGGAGUGAAAGCCCGGGGCCCAACCCCGGGACUGCUCUUGGAACUGUGCGGCUGGAGUGCGGGAGGGGCAGGCGGAAUUCCUGGUGUAGCGGUGAAAUGCGUAGAUAUUAGGAGGAACACCAGUGGCGAAGGCGGCUUACUGGACUGUAACUGACGUUGAGGCUCGAAAGCGUGGGGAGCAAACAGGAUUAGAUACCCGUGUAAA
rnacentral:rRNA from 1 species